ensembl:lncRNA
CUCAGACAGUCUGUGCUGUUUUCUUCCCAAAUUUCUUCUGGUCUUCAUUUCCUACAUCUGCUGUGAUCCUGAUAGCCAUCAAUCCUAAAAAGAGGGAAAGAGAAACUCCUGCACAAUUUGGAUUUUGAAAGUAAUGAAGAUGGAUACCGAAAACUGGGAAAUGAUGCUUCAUACCUUUGAGUAUCUAAACAAACUCCACAGAAAGGAUGGGCUUGAGAUAUACCAAGCCCUACGUCUACCUCUUGGUAGCUCCCAGACUCUUUUCAGUGGUGCCCAGUGCCAGGACAAAAGGCAGUGGAGCACAUGAGGUCUGCCUAACAUCAGGAAGCACUUUUUUAUUGCAAAGGCAGUGGAGCUCUGGCUGCCCAAAGAGGUUAUGGAAUGUUGUAUCAUAGAAUCACAGAAACAUUAAGAUUGGAAAAGACCACUCAGAUCAUCUAGUCCAGCUGUCAACCCAUCACCACCAUGCCCACUAAACUCUGUCCCUCAGUGUCACAUCUGCCCUUUUCUUGAACAUACCCAAGGACAGUGACUCCUCCUCCCUGGGCAGACUGUUGAAAUGCCUCACUUCUCCCUUGAAAAGAAAUUUUUCCUAAUAUCUAACUUGAACCUCCUUGAAGAUCAUCAAAAGCUGUCUGAAUGUGGUCCUGGUCACCCUUUCUGGUGAUCCUGUUUGAGUAGGGGUUGGAUUAGUUGGACCCAGACGUCGCUUCUAACCUCAACUGUCCAGUGUUUCUGUGACCAUUCUAUUCUAUUUCAUCAAGUUCAGUUUCCUGAUCCUGUUGUCCAUGCAUCUUCACCACUCCAACAAACAGAAAAAGAGGAAACGGUGGUGAGAAGGAAUAGGAAAGGACUCUCCUUUUUAGUACAUUCUUAGGUGAGUUGAUCACACAACUUUACCACCAGGAGAUUUCAAAAGAGAAACAGAGCUGACACCAAGUAUCAGAACAAUGAUUUUGUGCUUGUGGAUGGAACAGAAGGAAGUACUUCUCCUCUACACAAAAAACAGAAGCAAUCUGCUCUUUUUUUUGUAUUGUGAAAGUGGAAUGGAAUCAUAAUUAGGGACCUGUCGCAAUCCCUGACGCUAAAACCAUUUAUUUGACACUGGUGUGGAGCACAGAUGAGAGAGAAAAGUUCUAAACAAGGAAAUGUUUCUAAAGAAAUAAAAGACCAUGAAGAAAUUGUG